rnacentral:rRNA from 1 species
ACAUCCCUUGAACGUCAAGAGAUUGGAUUUCCCUUCGGGGCAAGGAGACAGGUGGUGCAUGGUUGUCGUCAGCUCGUGUCGUGAGAUGUUGGGUUAAGUCCCGCAACGAGCGCAACCCCUGUAGUUAGUUGCCAUCAUUGAGUUGGGCACUCUAGCUAGACUGCCGGUGACAAAUCGGAGGAAGGUGGGGACGACGUCAAAUCAUCAUGCCCCUUAUGUCCUGGGCUACACACGUACUACAAUGGCUAUCACAGUGGGAAGCAAGACCGCAAGGUGGAGCAAAUCCCCAAAGAUAGUCCCAGUUCAGAUUGUGGGCUGAAACCCGCCCACAUGAAGUCGGAAUUGCUAGUAAUGGCAGGUCAGCAUACUGCCGUGAAUACGUUCCCGGGCCUUGUACACACCGCCCGUCACACCAUGAGAGUCUGCAACACCCGAAGUCAGUAGCAUAACCGUAAGGAGUGCGCUGCCGAAGGUGGGGCCGAUGAUUGGGGUGAAGUCGUAACAAGGUAAGCGUAGCGAG